GGUGGCUCAGUGGUAGAGUGCUUGCCUUGUAUACAUGAGACCCUGGGUUUGAUUCCCCAGUACCA
rnacentral:tRNA from 1 species